rnacentral:lncRNA from 10 species
ACCUUUGUUCAGCUGAGUCAGCAAAAAUGAAUAAUUCUCCAGGCAACAGGGCAUAGGUGUAAAUGUAUGUGGUGUAGCUGUGGCCAGAAAGGUAGAGAUAGUUUCCCAGCAAAGGGAAUCACAGGUACAUGAUAGAAGAGGAUGAGAGGAAACCUGUUGUGAUGUGGACUGACAGUUGUGUUGUUCUGAUGAAACAAAGCUCACAAGGGGAGGUGACAGAUGAUGCCAAAGGUGUCAUCCAGGACUGCAUUGUCGGGGGGGUCCUUGGAAAUUAUUUUUAGGUGUUUGGGAUUUAUCCUGUAGCCUUACAGAGCCAUUAAAAAUUUUUUAAGCUGAGGAAUGACAUGGUUAGCUUUGCAACUUAGACAAAGAAAUAUUGUUUAUGUCUAUUAGGUCCAUUUGGUCUGUAGUGUUCAAGUCCACUCUUUUCU